rnacentral:rRNA from 1 species
GCCAGACUCCUACGGGAGGCAGCAGUGAGGAAUAUUGGUCAAUGGGCGCGAGCCUGAACCAGCCAAGUAGCGUGAAGGAUGACUGCCCUACGGGUUGUAAACUUCUUUUAUAAAGGAAUAAAGUGAGGCACGUGUGCCUUUUUGUAUGUACUUUAUGAAUAAGGAUCGGCUAACUCCGUGCCAGCAGCCGCGGUAAUACGGAGGAUCCGAGCGUUAUCCGGAUUUAUUGGGUUUAAAGGGUGCGUAGGCGGGAUGCAAAGUCAGGGGUAAAAAUGCGGUGCUCAACGCCGUCGAGCCGUUGAAACUGGCGUUCUUGAGUGGGCGAGAAGUAUGCGGAAUGCGUGGUGUAGCGGUGAAAUGCAUAGAUAUCACGCAGAACUCCGAUUGCGAAGGCAGCAUACCGGCGCCCUACUGACGCUGAGGCACGAAAGCGUGGGUAUCGAACAGGAUUAGAUACCCGCGUA